AGCGGAAGUGAGUGCGUGAGCGAGUGAAGGUGCGUGAGCGAAGGUGCGUGAGCGAGUGAAUCUGCUGCUGUUUCAGCAGAAGUGAAACUGAUCUGAUCCUGUUCUGUUUGAGUGCGGAUCUGUUCCGUGUCUGUGUUUGUAGUUUUGUUGAUUGAUGAACGCAGUGACUUUUUGUGCACCCCUGAGUCCAGCUCACUCAGCCACCUUGUGUUAUUUGGCCUACACUGAUCUUGCACUGUUCUGUUCUGGAAACUGCUUUUCAUGAUGCCACUCCUGCUGCCUGAGUGAAUCAAUAAACCAUUUUUAACCAGAAUUACAGACCAGUGUCAGGAGGCAGGAGAUCAGCAGUCAAUUAUGGCAGGACAAAACAUUUUUAUAAUAAAUAAAAAUACUUGAAAUAAAAUAUUGAAAAAUGUG